GACGAACGCUGGCGGCGUGCUUAACACAUGCAAGUCGAGCGGUAAGGCCCUUUCGGGGGUACACGAGCAGCGAACGGGUGAGUAACACGUGGGUGACCUGCCCUUAGCUCUGGGAUAAGCCUGGGAAACUGGGUCUAAUACCGGAUAUGACUCCAUGACGCAUGUUGUGGGGUGGAAAGCCUUGUGCGGCUAGGGAUGGGCCCGCGGCCUAUCAGCUUGUUGGUGGGGUGANGGCCUACCAAGGCGACGACGGGUAGCCGGCCUGAGAGGGCGACCGGCCACACUGGGACUGAGACACGGCCCAGACUCCUACGGGAGGCAGCAGUGGGGAAUCUUGCGCAAUGGGCGAAAGCCUGACGCAGCGACGCCGCGUGGGGAUGACGGCCUGGUGUAAC
rnacentral:rRNA from 1 species